GUGCUCACCUCAGCAGCACAUAUAACUAAAAUUGGAAUGAUACAAAGAUUAGCAUGGCCCCUGUGCAAGGAUGACACGCAGAUUCGUGAAGCAUUCCAUAUUUUU
ensembl:snRNA U6 U6 spliceosomal RNA